rnacentral:rRNA from 1 species
UACGAAGGGGACUAGCGUUGUUCGGAAUUACUGGGCGUAAAGCGCACGUAGGCGGAUUUGUAAGUCAGGGGUGAAAUCCCGGGGCUCAACCUCGGAACUGCCUUUGAUACUGCAAAUCUCGAGUCCGAUAGAGGUGGGUGGAAUUCCCAGUGUAGAGGUGAAAUUCGUAGAUAUUAGGAAGAACACCGGUGGCGAAGGCGGCCCACUGGAUCGGUACUGACGCUGAGGUGCGAAAGCGUGGGGAGCAAACAGG